UGGGGAAUAUUGCACAAUGGGCGCAAGCCUGAUGCAGCCAUGCCGCGUGUGUGAAGAAGGCCUUCGGGUUGUAAAGCACUUUCAGCGGGGAGGAAGGCGUUAAGGUUAAUAACCUUGGCGAUUGACGUUACCCGCAGAAGAAGCACCGGCUAACUCCGUGCCAGCAGCCGCGGUAAUACGGAGGGUGCAAGCGUUAAUCGGAAUUACUGGGCGUAAAGCGGACGCAGGCGGUCUGUCAAGUCGGAUGUGAAAUCCCCGGGCUCAACCUGGGAACUGCAUUCGAAACUGGCAAGCUAGAGUCUUGUAGAGGGGGGAAGAAUUCCAGGUGUAGCGGUGAAAUGCGUAGAGAUCAGGAGGAAUACCGGUGGCGAAGGCGGCCCCCUAGACAAAGACUGACGCUCAGGUGCGAAAGCGAGGGGAGCGAACGGG
rnacentral:rRNA from 1 species